rnacentral:rRNA from 1 species
CCGGAGGCGGCCUAUAAUGCAGUCGAGCGAACUGAUUAGAAGCUUGCUUCUAUGACGUUAGCGGCGGACGGGUGAGUAACACGUGGGCAACCUGCCUGUAAGACUGGGAUAACUUCGGGAAACCGAAGCUAAUACCGGAUAGGAUCUUCUCCUUCGUGGGAGAUGAUUGAAAGAUGGUUUCGGCUAUCACUUACAGAUGGGCCCGCGGUGCAUUAGCUAGUUGGUGAGGUAACGGCUCACCAAGGCAACCAUGCAUAGCCGACCUGAGAGGGUGAUCGGCCACACUGGGACUGAGACACGGCCCAGACUCCUACGGGAGGCAGCAGUAGGGAAUCUUCCGCAAUGGACGAAAGUCUGACGGAGCAACGCCGCGUGAGUGAUGAAGGCUUUCGGGUCGUAAAACUCUGUUGUUAGGGAAGAACAAGUACUAGAGUAACUGCUUGUACCUUGACGGUACCUAACCAGAAAGCCUCGGCUAACUACGUGCCAGCAGCCGCGGUAAUACGUAUGUGGCAAGCGUUAUCCGGAAUUAUUGGGCGUAAAGCGCGCGCAGGCGGUUUCUUAAGUCUGAUGUGAAAGCCCACGGAUCAACAGUGGAUGGGCAUUGGAAACUGGGGAACUUGAGUGCAGAUGAGAAAAGCGCAGUUCCACGUGGAGCGCCGAAAUGCGUUGAUCUGUCUGCUGAUCACUUCUUUUUAAAGUCGAAUUUUUUCUUCUUGAACUGACUUUUAAGGCACGAAAGCACGGAUUGUGGACAGGAUUAGAUACCCUGGUUUUCAUUUGAUAAACAAUGAUAGAUAAGUAUUAGAAAAUUUUAUCGGUAUUGGGGUGCAGCUGACUGUGUUCGCGUUCGGCCUAGGGGGGUAGAAGCCUCUUA